rnacentral:misc_RNA from 1 species
AACAUCGCGCACCUGCGGGAACCUGCGGAGGGAUCAUUACACAAUAAACAUAUGAAGGCUGCACCGCCAACAGGCGGCAAGGCUGGAGUAUUUUAUUACCCUUGUCUUUUGCGCACUUGUUGUUUCCUGGGCGGGUUCGCCCGCCUCCAGGACCACAUGAUAAACCUUUUUUAUGCAGUUGCAAUCAGCGUCAGUACAACAAAUGUAAAUCAUUUACAACUUUUAACAAUGGAUCUCAGA